ACCUACUACUGAAAGCAACAAGCUGGAUGAGCCCUCUCCCUCGCCUUGGUAUAUAGGACGGGUGAGCAACACCUACCCGAGUACCACACCGCUUUCUCUAGGAGGCUGGGAGCUGUGCUGGAGCUCGCCCAUCUGACCCAGUCCUCCACAUGAGAUCUGGCAAGAUAAUCGCUCCAAGCGUCUGGAAGGAACACCUUGCUUUCUCUGCUGCUCCUGAAAGAAUCGAGGACAAAUGAUGGAGACAGAAUUGCUCACCACCAUCUUGGCUGGAGAAGACACAGGAAGCUCUUUGCACCAUCACCUCUGAACCUACGCACUCUGCCCCGUCCCUUGUGCCUCCUGCUCCCAGCCUGGGCAUGGGCUCCUGUUAUACAGCGUGCCACAUUUAUUUCCUGCAUUAAAUCAGAGCCCCCUGGGAUCUGGUUCCCAAGCCGGCGUUUCACGAUGAGGACGCUCACCACCAGGACCACCACGGGGUGUGACCCCCACGGGAAUAGAGAAGUGCUGAAGCUGAAAGCGGGUCCAGCCCCUGAGGAGAAGAGGAAUGGAGAGCUGAAAGGAACCAGGCUUCUCACUGGAGAGAGCUGUGCAAAGCGCAAUGGCCUUGAUGGAAAGGGUGGUGAGAGGAGACGUCUGGCAGCUGGGUGUGCGGGGCUGUGGACAGAGGCUGGGAACCGAAUGGAGAAAAGAGUUGCAAUAGAAGACAAGGCAGGAGAAGCCUGACAGCUUCAUUGAGAGGAGAUAUGGCAGUGGAGGAGCAAGACCUUCCCAUAAUGGGGCAGCGCAAGGUGAUUGGGAUGUUUUUCAUGGCUGCCUUGGGAGUGCCAUCGGCCAUAACAGAGCAAAGACUUGGAACAGGAAAAAAUACAGGGAGAAGAGCUAAUAAAUGACCUUUGCAAUAGUGCGACCA
rnacentral:lncRNA from 1 species